UAAUACAUGCAAGUCGAACGCACUCUCGUUUAGAUUGAAGGAGCUUGCUCCUGAUUGAUAAACAUUUGAGUGAGUGGCGGACGGGUGAGUAACACGUGGGUAACCUGCCCUAAAGUGGGGGAUAACAUUUGGAAACAGAUGCUAAUACCGCAUAAAACCUAACACCGCAUGGUGUAGGGUUGAAAGAUGGUUUCGGCUAUCACUUUAGGAUGGACCCGCGGUGCAUUAGUUAGUUGGUGAGGUAAAGGCUCACCAAGACCGUGAUGCAUAGCCGACCUGAGAGGGUAAUCGGCCACACUGGGACUGAGACACGGCCCAGACUCCUACGGGAGGCAGCAGUAGGGAAUCUUCCACAAUGGACGAAAGUCUGAUGGAGCAACGCCGCGUGAGUGAAGAAGGUUUUCGGAUCGUAAAACUCUGUUGUUGGAGAAGAAUGUAUCUGAUAGUAACUGAUCAGGUAGUGACGGUAUCCAACCAGAAAGCCACGGCUAACUACGUGCCAGCAGCCGCGGUAAUACGUAGGUGGCAAGCGUUGUCCGGAUUUAUUGGGCGUAAAGCGAGCGCAGGCGGUUUCUUAAGUCUGAUGUGAAAGCCUUCGGCUCAACCGAAGAAGUGCAUCGGAAACUGGGAAACUUGAGUGCAGAAGAGGACAGUGGAACUCCAUGUGUAGCGGUGAAAUGCGUAGAUAUAUGGAAGAACACCAGUGGCGAAGGCGGCUGUCUGGUCUGUAACUGACGCUGAGGCUCGAAAGCAU
rnacentral:rRNA from 1 species